rnacentral:rRNA from 1 species
UGGGGAAUAUUGGACAAUGGGGGCAACCCUGAUCCAGCCAUGCCGCGUGCGUGAAGAAGGCCUUUGGGUUGUAAAGCGCAUUCAGCGGGGAGGAUGAUGACGGUACCCGCAGAAGAAGCCCCGGCUAACUCCGUGCCAGCAGCCGCGGUAAUACGGAGGGGGCAAGCGUUGUUCGGAAUUACUGGCAGACUGGAGUCCCGGAGGGGGUGGUGGAAUUCCCAGUGUAGAGGUGAAAUUCGUAGAUAUUGGGAGGAACACCGGUGGCGAAGGCGACCACCUGGACGGGUACUGACGCUGAGACGCGAAAGCGUGGGGAGCAAACAGGAUUAGAUACCCCGGUAGUCC